AUUGAACGCUGGCGGCAGGCCUAACACAUGCAAGUCGAACGCGUGGCGGACGGGUGAGUAAUGUCUGGGAAACUGUCUGAUGGAGGGGGAUAACGUCUGGAAACGGUAGCUAAUACCGCCCACCAUCCGAUGCGCCCAGAUGGGUCUAGCUUGUUGGUGGGGUAACGGCUCACAAAGGCGACGGUCCCUAGCUGGUCGGAGAGGAUGACCAGCCACACGGGAACUGGGACACGGUCCAGACUCCUACGGUAGGCAGCAGUGGGGAAUAUUGCACAAUGGGCGCAAGCCUGAUGCAGCCAUGCCGCGUGGAUGAAGAAGGCCUUCGGGUUGUAAAGUACUUGCAGCGGGGAGGCGUUACCCGCAGAAGAAGCACCGGCUAACUCCGUGCCAGCAGCCGCGGUAAUAC
rnacentral:rRNA from 1 species